rnacentral:rRNA from 1 species
AGAGUUUGAUCAUGGCUCAGAGCGAACGCUGGCGGCAGGCCUAACACAUGCAAGUCGAGCGGCCGUAGCAAUACGGCAGCGGCAGACGGGAGAGUAACACGAGGGAACGCGCCCUUCGCUUCGCGAUAGCUCAGGAAAACUUGGGCUAAUACCGGAUACGCCCUUACGGGGAAAGAUUUAUUGCCGAAGGAACGGCCCGCGUCCGAUUAGCUUGUUGGUGAGGUAACGGCUCACCAAGGGGACGAUCGGUAGCUGGUCUGAGAGGAUGACCAGCCUCACUGGGACUGAGACACGGCCCAGACUCCUACGGGAGGCAGCAGUGGGGAAUUAUUGGACAAUGGGGGCAAGCCUGAUCCAGCCAUGCCGCGUGGGUGAUGAAGGCCCUAGGGUUGUAAAGCUCUUUCGGCGGGGAAGAUAAUGACGGUACCCGCAGAAGAAGCUGCCGGCUAACUUCGUGCCAGCAGCCGCGGUAAUACGAAGGGGGCUAGCGUUGCUCGGAAUUACUGGGCGUAAAGGGCGCGUAGGCGGCUUCUUAAGUCGGUGGUGAAAUCUUGGAGCUCAACUCCAGAACUGCCUUCGAUACUGGGAAGCUCGAGUCCGGGAGAGGUGAGUGGAACUGCGAGUGUAGAGGUGAAAAUUCGUUAGAUAUUCGCAAGGAACACCAGUGGCAGGCGGCUCACUGGCCCGUGUACUGACGCUGAGGUGCAAGAGCAGGACGAGCAGACAGGAUUAGAUACCCUAGUAGUCC